UAGAAAUACUUAGUGGCGGACGGGUGAGUAACGCGUGAGAAUCUGCCUUCAGGACGGAGACAACAGUUGGAAACGACUGCUAAGCCCCGAUGAACCGAAAGGGAAAAUAUUUAUAGCCUGAAGAUGAGCUCGCGUCCGAUUAGCUAGUUGGGGGGGGUAAAAGCCCACCAAGGCGACGAUCGGUAGCUGGUCUGAGAGGACGAUCGGCCACACUGGGACUGAGACACGGCCCAG
rnacentral:rRNA from 1 species